rnacentral:rRNA from 1 species
UUUGCACUGGGAUAGCCUCGGGAACCGAGGUUAAUACCGGAUACCCCAUAUUUGUCGCAUGGCGAAUAUGGGAAGCUCCGGCGGCAAAGGAUGGGCCCGCGGCCUGUUAGCUAGUUGGUGGGGGUAGUGGCCUACCAAGGCAAUGAUGGGUAGCCGGGUUGAGAGACCGACCGGCCAGAUUGGGACUGAGACACGGCCCAGACUCCUACGGGAGGCAGCAGUG